UACGUAGGUCGCAAGCGUUGUCCGGAUUUACUGGGCGUAAAGAGCGCGCAGGCGGCUGGUCAAGUCCGAUGUGAAAUCUCCCGGCUCAACUGGGAAACUGCAUCGGAAACUGAUCGGCUUGAAGAUGGGAGAGGGUAGUGGAAUUCCCGGUGUAGCGGUGAAAUGCGCAGAUAUCGGGAAGAACACCCCGUGGCGAAGGCGGCUCACUGGCCCGGUACUGACGCUGAGAGUACGAAAAGCG
rnacentral:rRNA from 1 species